rnacentral:misc_RNA from 1 species
AAUGAAAAUAUAUGCAAUAAAACCAGAAGAAACCAUAUCAGCAAUCUCUUCUCAUGUGUACAAUGCCGUGAAAGGAAGGGACGGCCCAAAUAUCAAAGGGCCACAAAGUUACAGCUGCUGAUCAAGGUAAGCGUCCUUGGGAGAUCUUGGACUUAAAUAUCCUAAAACACUUUCAGAAACACCUGCAGCAUAAUUCUUCAUCCAGGAUGUGCUUCGUGUCAACCAUCCAGUCUGUGCUUGUUCUUGUACUUCAAGCAUGCUUUUCCUUUCUUCCUCCACCAGUAUGUCAAGCCACCUCUUAGCCAUGAAAUUCUUCACAGCUUCAAUCCCUUCUAUCACUAUUUCUGAUGGUGGGAUCACAAGAGGAUUUUGUUCCAAGUUCAAUUUGGU